ensembl:lncRNA
GAACACCUCACAAUCCUUUUCUGCCACGCACCUGCUCUGUUGGCUUCCCAGCUUCAGCAACAACUGAGCUACAAAUUGCUGAAAGUCCAGAAUUUUACCACAAACUGGAUGUACCAGAGAGGAUGCACAGGGCCUCAGAGAUAAUGACAGUUGGUGUUUCCAGUAAAUCCCUGUCUGGUGUUGUGCUGAGAGCUGUCAGUGCCCUGGCUGUAGCCCAGGUCCUACACACCAUUUGUCACUUGUCCAGCAAAGAGCUGGCCACAGAAGAGAACCUAAUGAAGGAAUAUUUGCCUUGAUCAAUUAAAUAUCAACUAACUUGUCUUUCUCUCUCAGCAAUCUCAUUUCCCUUUCCCUGCAGGUAUCCAUUCUCUAAGACCAUUUGCAUGAGAUUUCCAGUUUUACACCCUGCCUAAACCCUCCAGUGACACAUCUCUAUUUUUCCCAUAAUUUUAAGCUCUGCAUCCACACCAGAUAUUGUACAAACCUGCUGUGAAAAGCCCCUACAGAUUAAUCUCUGAAUUAACUUGUUUAUUUUUACUGUAGUUUGUACCAUCUGAAGACUGAUUAUUGGAACAUGCAGGCUUGAAAAUAAAGAAUAGGGAGAAAUAAAAGAAAG